rnacentral:lncRNA from 1 species
GGCUUUCCUGGCACAAACAUUCUGCAUGAACUACUUAAAAAUCCACACUAAUUCCAACAUCUGGGUCAUCUCGAGGUAAGUCUCUAUUGAUUGCCUUUUUCUUUGAAUAUAUUUCUGUAUAUGUUUGAUAUAAUGGGAUUGAAUUCUGAGGGUUGUAAAACUAGAUUUUGUUUUGUUCCUCUGAAAAUUUUGAUAAUUUUUUGUUGUAUUUGUUGUAUUUUGUUUGAUUUUUUUUCUAUUGUAUACUUUACAAUAUAUUUUCCUCCAAUGGUUUUAACAUUUCUAUUUCUCAAAAUAUUUAUGUUUAUGUUAAAAAUUAUACAAAGUACCUUGGUGCAGUGGCUUCCAUCUGUAAUCCCAGAACUUUUAGAGGCCAAGGCAGGAGGGUCACUCGAGCCCAGGAGUUGGAAACCAGCCUAGACAACAGGGCAAGACCCUGUCUCCACAAAAAAUUAUUAGCGUGGUGCAAAAAGUAAUUGCAGGUUUUGCCAUUAUUUUCAAUGGCAAAACCCGCAAUUACCCUUUCACCAACCUGAUAAAAAAUAAGCUGGAUAUGGUGGUGGCUUGUGCCUGUGGUCUCAGCUAUUUG